AGCCAGGCGGAGGAGCAGAAGGAGCAGGUUGAGUUGCAGUCCUUUGCUGCCGAGGUCAGAGAUUCUGAGGGAAGGAGGAAUCGCUCAAAUCCCCCUCAGGAGCAGUUCUUCAGGAGGAUCUCUCAGGAAGAUCUGAGUCAGGACACCUCAGGAGGGAAGAAUAAAACGAAAUUGUCUCCUUCUUAUGGUGGAGCUGAAACAGUGGUUGAACCUCCAACUCAGGUAAGGGUUUUAUUCAUUAGAUUUGUAUUC